rnacentral:rRNA from 1 species
CACGUAGGAGGCAAGCGUUAUUCGGAUUUACUGGGCGUAAAGCGCGUGCAGGCGGUUCGAUAAGUUGGAUGUGAAAGCUCCUGGCUUAACUGGGAGAGGUCGUUCAAUACUAUCGGACUAGAGGAUGAGAGAGGGAGGUGGAAUUCCGAGUGUAGUGGUGGAAUGCGUAGAUAUUCGGAGGAACACCAGUGGCGAAAGCGGCCUCCUGGCUCAUAACUGACGCUCAGACGCGAAAGCUAGGGUAGCAAACGGG